rnacentral:rRNA from 1 species
UACGUAGGGUGCAAGCGUUGUCCGGAUUCAUUGGGCGUAAAGAGCUCGUAGACGGCUUUGUAAGUCGGGUGUGAAAACCCCAGGCUCAACCUGGGGACGCCACUCGAUACUGCAAUAGCUAGAGUCUGGUAGGGGAUCACGGAAUUCCUGGUGUAGCGGUGAAAUGCGCAGAUAUCAGGAAGAACACCCGUGGCGAAGGCGGCUCUCUGGUACGUGACUGACGCUGAGACGCGAAAGCGUGGGGAGCGAACAGG